AUUUAGUUCAAGAUGAAGAUUUCUGUGAAAAGUGUUCGAUAAACUAAUGAAACUAGGACAACAUUUUUGUUUAAGAAACAUUUGUAUUACUAAUGAAAAAUAACUUGAUGGGAUAAUAUCCUAUGGGAUGAACACAAUCUCUAUUAUGUUUAAUUUCAAUAUCACUGGUCAAGGUCACAGUAGCAGUUUAUAGACACAGAAAUAAGGACCGC
rnacentral:lncRNA from 1 species